CAUGCCAAUGGCACUGCCCGGUAGCUAAAUGCGGAAGAGAUAAGUGCUGAAAGCAUCUAAGCACGAAACUUGCCCCGAGAUGAGUUCUCCCUGACUCCUUGAGAGUCCUGAAGGAACGUUGAAGACGACGACGUUGAUAGGCCGGGUGUGUAAGCGCAGCGAUGCGUUGAGCUAACCGGUACUAAUGAACCGUGAGGCUUAACCUU
rnacentral:rRNA from 1 species